rnacentral:rRNA from 1 species
UACGUAGGGUGCAAGCGUUAAUCGGAAUUACUGGGCGUAAAGAGCGCGCAGGCGGUCGUUCAAGUCGCGUGUGAAAGCCCCCGGCUCAACUGGGGAGGGUCACGCGAUACUGAUCGACUCGAAGGCAGGAGAGGGUAGUGGAAUUCCCGGUGUAGUGGUGAAAUGCGUAGAUAUCGGGAGGAACACCAGUGGCGAAGGCGACUACCUGGCCUGUUCUUGACGCUGAGGCGCGAAAGCUAGGGGAGCAAACGGG